rnacentral:rRNA from 1 species
UACGAAGGGGGCUAGCGUUGUUCGGAAUUACUGGGCGUAAAGCGCACGUAGGCGGAUAUUUAAGUCAGGGGUGAAAUCCCAGAGCUCAACUCUGGAACUGCCUUUGAUACUGGGUAUCUUGAGUAUGGAAGAGGUAAGUGGAAUUGCGAGUGUAGAGGUGAAAUUCGUAGAUGUUCGCAGGAACACCAGUGGCGAAGGCGGCUCACUGGCCCGAUACUGACGCUGAGGCACGAAAGCGUGGGGAGCAAACAGG